GAGGAGCAAAACUGAGUGAGAGAGGGAGGGAAAGUGGAUGUCCGUAAAUAUCACAGAAAGAGGGAGAAUUAAUGAGUGGGGAGGGAUAAAGAAGUGAUCUGGGCUUAGCAGCUCAGACAAGGCUGAAAUGAAGACACCCAAACUGGGGAUCGCUGUGCUCUUGCGGUGAAGUCACACUCUUGGAAGGCUGAAUUUGGCAAGGGAAGCUUUUCUUCCUGUCCCAGGUGAGCCAGACAUUUGACAUCACCAUAAACGCCGUGGAUGACUCCUUGCCCAUCGUGCAAAUCUUUGGGAUGACAGUUCAGGAAGGGGUGAGAAAAACCAUCACGGAGUUUGAGCUCAAAGCGACAGAUGCUGACACAGAGGUGGAGUCCCUGACGUUCGGGGCGGUGCAGCCGCCCCGGCACGGGCUUAUGGAACGCAGCGGCCGCGGGCAGCGUCCUCUGCAGGCCACCACCUUCACCAGGGAUGACAUCACAUCUACCAGAAGCGCGGCAGCUGCAGGCACCGCGGCGGCAGCGCGCUCAGGGACCGCUUCACCCUCACCGUCUCCGACGGCACCAGCCCCCUCUUCGUGGUGCAGGAGGGAGGGAAGAAGGUCAGGGAGGAGAAGGGAUGGGAGGGGGCCUUGGGAGCUCACAGGGAUCUGCCUCCUCUCGGGGCAGGGGGGACUGAGAUGCUGACUGAAUGUUCUCGGUCACGUCUUUGCUUCUUCCCCUCCCUGCAAACUCUGCCCUUGCUGCCAGCAGAGCCGAAAGGAGCCGAGCUGGUGACGUGGUGGCUGAGGCUCUGACUCGCACAGUAACCCCCGUGUCUCUGAACUGUUGUCAGGUGUGGCCCACAUCAUGUUUAAGGUGGAGAUCGUGUCCAACGAAGACCGGGAGUGGCACGAGUCCUUUUCUCUGGUGCUGGGCCCAGAUGAUCCUGUGGAAGCAGGACCUAGGGACCUGCUGAUUCAAGGCUGAAGUGAACCUUUAAGAAAUGAGGAACAGAGUGCAAGAAUUCAGUGAUGAAGUAACAGUGGCAUACAGCCUUUCAUUUCCCCUGGUCCUCUCACCCAGCAAUGAGGUCUCACAA